rnacentral:rRNA from 1 species
UACGGAGGGUGCAAGCGUUAUCCGGAUUCACUGGGGUUAAAGGGAGCGUAGGUGGUUCUGUAAGUCAGUGGUGAAAUCUCCGGGCUUAACCUGGAAACUGCCAUUGAUACUAUAGGUCUUGAAUAUUGUGGAGGUUAGCGGAAUAUGUCAUGUAGCGGUGAAAUGCGUAGAUAUCAAGUGGAACACCAGUGGCGAAGGCGAGUCUCUGGACAUUUCCUGACGCUGAGGCACGAAAGCCAGGGGAGCAAACGGG